rnacentral:rRNA from 1 species
GACGAACGCUGGCGGCGUGCCUAAUACAUGCAAGUUGAGCGAUGAAGAUUGGUGCUUGCACCAAUUUGAAGAGCAGCGAACGGGUGAGUAACGCGUGGGGAAUCUGCCUUUGAGCGGGGGACAACAUUUGGAAACGAAUGCUAAUACCGCAUAAUAACUUUAAACAUAAGUUUUAAGUUUGAAAGAUGCAAUUGCAUCACUCAAAGAUGAUCCCGCGUUGUAUUAGCUAGUUGGUGAGGUAAAGGCUCACCAAGGCGAUGAUACAUAGCCGACCUGAGAGGGUGAUCGGCCACAUUGGGACUGAGACACGGCCCAAACUCCUACGGGAGGCAGCAGUAGGGAAUCUUCGGCAAUGGACGAAAGUCUGACCGAGCAACGCCGCGUGAGUGAAGAAGGUUUUCGGAUCGUAAAACUCUGUUGGUAGAGAAGAACGUUGGUGAGAGUGGAAAGCUCAUCAAGUGACGGUAACUACCCAGAAAGGGACGGCUAACUAUGUG